CCCGGCACCGAGCGCUCCGUGCAGCAGGCGCUGGAGACCGUGCGACUCAACGCGGCCUGGCUGCGCCGCGACCUCGCCUCCACCACCACCUACCUGCAGUCCUACCACUGACGGACCAAAUGACACAAGACUGAAACUACAACGAAGUCCAGUUAACGUUUCAAUAGAUCUUUAUUCACUUAGCUGAGCUGCUAGCAUUUUGAGUUAUUUAUUUUCCAGUGACAUUGUUAUAUGUUAACCGUGACAUUGAAAAAGAGUAUUUUAAAUGUUGUUAAUAUCGUAUUUUAAAGCUAAUAUAGCCGAAUUAAAUUAAACAGCAGUAACAGGUGGAGCAUAGGAACGAAGAAGUAUAUUUCAAUUUGUUGUUGUUUUUGUAAUACUUAUUCCUGCCUGUUCAUUUCAUUUAUUUCUAAAAACUAAGAGCACUUUCAAUCGCCAUGUAAAAUCUAAAAGCUUAGUCUAAAUAAAUAAUAAAAAUAUUGUAAUUUUAGCAGUCUAAACUAUUCUUACCUUUCACGCAAUAUACUGCAAAAAAGCUGGGAUAGAAAAUAAUAUAUGUAUUCACGAGUUUGAUAUAAACUUGAGUACAUUUUGAUUUACAUCGGGCUUACCUGUAUAAUAUAAUAAUAUUCCAACGAGAACCACUAGGUACACUGAAAACACAUACCUACGAGCCCCGAUGCAUAUGUUUUCGUCUAGUCAGACCAUUUUUUGAGGUUCUCGCGUUUGUACAAAAACCAUGUUUAAGUUUAAAAAUCACUAACAUUUAAUGCUAAUGUAGUUUAAUUUUAUAUGGUAAUAUUCUCCAAUAACUAAAUCCAAAUACAAUAAAUACCGUUUGUACUAAAAGAAAAAAAUUACGAUUUUUUAUUUUUUUAUUUGACGGCUAGGAAUAUAACAGAUGUGAAAAGGGCUAUUACUAGGGAAAGCAACACGGCUCUACCAGUGCUAGGAGAGGACAAAAUGAUUUGGAGAACGUUUUUGAAAAGUACAUUUUUUUAACAAUAAGAGUCAUGUAAUUUUAUUAUACGAUCAAAAUAAACUAUUUUUCUUCAUGUGCAAAAUAGUUGUUGGAGUUGGAAUAAACAAAAUUGUUGUGUGGAACUAGACGAACUAAUUUGCAUCGGGGCUCGUACAUGGCAGUCUGUUAUAAAAUAGUACAUUUCGAUGCUAGUGCGGAAAGUAUGUCAUUACUUCACGAGUACCGAAAUAUCGAGAGACUCGGGACGAGUGAAGAACGACACUUCCGCACGUGUAUCGAACGACGUUUUUUAAUACAGUUGCGAAAAAAUAAUAAAAACAACAAGUAAGGAAUAAAAACUUUGGAAACGUAAAACAUGCUUGCAGUAAGAAAAAACGCCUCUUCGUUGACAGGCGUUUCGGCAGCUAUUCCUACCUCUACCUUCCAUAGCUAUUCCGUUCCAUUCAGACAACUUAUUAAGAACGGUUUUUCAAUAUUCAAUAUUAAAAAAUAAACGUGUUAUAAUGAGAGGUAAGUAAUAAAAUAUGAAAUAUGUAUAUUUUUCGUAUUCUUACAUUAACAGUAGGUUUUUAUGUUGAUUACGAACGUUUAAAGGAAACAAUAUUAAUACUCAUCAAUAAGUAGUCAUGAAUUGGAACAAGUAUAAAUUUAAAAAAAUUGGAAAAGUAAAAUGCACUAGUUCGCGAAAACCAACUUUCCGCAAACUAAACAGCUACGUAUAGUAGCACUUUUUGAGCAACUGUAUUAAAAAGGUAUCUAACAUGUUAGUAAAAAAAAUCUUAUGCAUUUUGAUCUAUUGUGCUCGCUCAAAUUCGCAUGUACAUCAGUACAAUGAUGACACUAGUCACAUGCGCCUAACUAGAUUUCCGCAGCGGCAAAGGAGCUAAGACAAGAAUUAUCAUAAUUUAACAAAUACGGCCCGUUGUUAUAACACUUCAAUGCUCUACAAGUCUACAGUUUCAAUGGUCCACUGUUAUAGAAGCUAUACUUACAGGAUUUAACAUGUAUUAUAAUGUGUAAAAUAUUAUUUUAAUUUAUGUUUAGAUUAUGUUACGAGUUUUGUAAUAUUGGUGCUGAGAGCAUUAUUUUUGUUUUAUUUCUUUAUUCUGGGGAAAGUACAAUUUGUUUCUAACAUUAGUGUAAACUGUAUACUGACACAACAAACCUUAGUAGCGUAUUUAAUUUAAUUUACCAGUGUGCAAUAGUUUCUUACGUCCACCACACCACGUACCAGUCGACUUGCACACAUAUAUAAUUUUAAUUAUGUACCUACAUUUAGCAAAUUAAUCGUUUAGGGGCGUGCAAGUUCAGUCAAAAUUUUUGUGAUCUUAAAAUAAUGAAAUGAAGUUACCAUCGUUUAAUAGGGUCUUGUCGCUGUCAUUGCUGAAUUGUUUUGUAAGACUGUUAUCGCAAUAAAUGGUACAAGAACAUAA